rnacentral:lncRNA from 1 species
AGAAGCCAGGGAAGUGAGGAGCCUGCCCCAAGUGAGGUUUCCGAUGGGCUGCCGUCCUGAUCGCCCCCGGCCUCCAUCUCAGCCUUUCUCAGCUGCUGGGUACUUGCCCAUUUGGUUUCCCAAACCUGGAGUCAAUAACCUCAAUCUUCCCUCCUGCCACUUUAAGCAGAAAAUCAGCACCAAGUAAACUGCAGAAAAAAAUGGCCGGACCUUAAAAAGCUAACCCGGUGGUUUGCAACCUCGGCUGCAGGAGCAAAGAAAAUACAUGCACUCUAUAACCGCUUAUUACCCUGGAUUCCCUGUCACAGAGGUGGAGAGAAGAUUCUGACCAGUAAGGCGUUUACUGGAGAAUGAGUUUUCACUUUUAAUAAACGUCCAGCAUUUUGCCUUGGCAAGCCAGCCAGCUGGAAAGCAGAUACGUUUAAAUGGUCUUGGUUGAUCGUUUGGAGCUGGAAGGAGAAAGGCUGUCAUCUCAAAGUGGAGGAUGACUAAGGAGUGCCCAGGAAGCCAGCAGAGGCGGAAAGAGGCGGAAAGAGCAUCACACCGAAUGGUGUGGUCCGCAAAGGCGGAGGGAUAUUGAGUGAAGAUGGCCGAGGCUAGCCAAUGAGAAUAGAAUGCAAGCCAGAAGUGCAAGCCACACACGGAAUUUUACAUUUCUAGUGGCCACAU